AUAUCAAUGGCUCAGUAGCAGUUUUAGGUUCUACCAAUGUAAUGGCUCCAACAGGUAAAAAAAAAGGUCAUAUACCUGAUACUAAAUCCAUCAUAGCUUACUAGUACUUCCAUGGCUGUAACUUUAAUCCCUUUCUUAUGCAGUGGCAGUUUUAUGGCUGUAACUUAAAUCCCCAAACGUUGAAGGCACGUCAAAUCAAGUAUCUCAUGGAUGGUUGAAGGCAACAAGCUUCUCCUCGGAUGGUUUCUCGAUUUGCAUCCACGUAAGGAUUCGAGACCACCUACGACUGCGGAGGAUCCGAGUUUGACUCCGAAAGUCUCUGAAGAUGACGACAGUGAAACCCAAGAGUAAUGAUUUAUUAUU
rnacentral:lncRNA from 1 species